CACGUAGGGUGCGAGCGUUGUCCGGAAUUAUUGGGCGUAAAGAGCUCGUAGGCGGUUUGUCGCGUCGGCUGUGAAAACCCGAGGCUCAACCUCGGGCCUGCAGUCGAUACGGGCAAACUAGAGUGCGGUAGGGGAGACUGGAAUUCCUGGUGUAGCGGUGAAAUGCGCAGAUAUCAGGAGGAACACCGGCGGCGAAGGCGGGUCUCUGGGCCGUAACUGACGCUGAGGAGCGAAAGCGUGGGGAGCGAACAGG
rnacentral:rRNA from 1 species